rnacentral:rRNA from 1 species
AAUCCCGUGAACCAUCGAGUCUUUGAACGCAAGUUGCGCCCCAAGCCUUCUGGCCGAGGGCACGUCUGCCUGGGUGUCACAAAUCGUCGUCCCCAUCCUUUGUGGAUAAGGGACGGAAGUUGGUCUCCCGUGUGUUACCGCACGCGGUUGGCCUAAAUCUGAG